CUGCUACGGAGCCAUAACGUGAGGUACAAGCCCUCACCUCCCGGCGCCGGGACAAAUUACUGUCUGUAAGAGUCAGCAGACCAGCUUUAUGAUGAUGUCACUCCGACUCUGUGGCCAUUUGAAGACCUCAUCUAUUACUGUGGCCCGAUGUUUACCUCUGGUGUGGACCUCACUUUAAGCAGUCCAUAUGGCUGCAAUGUGAAAUCAGGGCUUUUCCCCUUUAAACCGUGGGCUUCCGAUGCAUAAAGCCGCAGGAUAACUGCUCAGCCAUCAAAGAGCUGAACGCAAAACCAUCUCUGAGCCCUCUACACACAAGCACACGUGCACAUGUACACAGUCACACACACAGAGGGAGUUAGGCAGCUGCAAGCACACUGAAAGUAGAAAAAACACUCACCGUAACACAUGCUGAGGGACGUACAAGGAAACAGAGAAAAUGGCUUACACAUGCAUCUACGCACACUCAAGAGCUCACUGGAGGUGUGUAAUGGAUUGGAUCCCCCUCAUAAUUCCUGGGACAGCGUUGUCUUUGAGGUUCGUACAGAGGCGGAUGAGACCACAGCUGUUUGGACAUAAAUUUUCAGAGGAAUGCCUUAAGUCCGAGCCCUCAGCAUAAAGAGCAUGACUGAAAAUUCCUCUCGAAAUGACAAAUGAUCGCCCUAAGGACUGUGUGUGUGUGUGUGUGUGUGUGUGUGUGUGUGUGUGUGUGUGUGUGAAAAGGGUUUGUCAUGCAGGCAAGGUUAUGGAAUGCGUGUUUCUGUGUAUGUUUUGUAUAAUGCACGAGUGUGUGCGCAUAUCAUAUAUAUGACAUGUAUGUACGCAUACCUUUGGAAGAUGAGUUGUGUGUACAGUAUGUGUGUGUGUAUAUGUGUGUUGCAGCAGGUUGCGGAGAAGUAGGAAAUGGCGUGCAGACAGGAAUUGGUCUCCUCUGUUGGAUCAGGAAGACUCAACAGCUGGGGAAGGAAAGGAGGGCAGCUUGCCAGGUCUCAUAAAAAAAGUCGGAAUCUCAAUUUUCUCUCUAUACAGUAGCUAACUCUGGAGUCAUGUUAUCAUACAAGUGUGAAGGUUUAUAGGAAUAUUUUGGAUAGAUUAGGUUGGAUAUGCAGCUUGUAGCAUGUGAUAUAGUUUUGCCAACAAGGUAAAGUCUCAAUUUUAUGUCUUUCUGGAUCAUGUGUCUUCAUUUGCAGAUAUUGCAGGGCUACAUGGAUAUUAAUGUGGUUUAACGACCAUGUAUUUACUGUGUAAAUGUAAGCAUUUUAAGCUAUUAUGAGUGUUUUACACCAGGUAAAACACC